CGCCAAUUGUAUUCCCUCACCUUUGUGUUUUUCCUGUGUUUGUUGACAAUAGGAACUCGUGCUAUAGUAUUUAUUGGAUCAAAUAUCAAACAAGGAACAUGUCAUAGCCGAGUUGAUCCGCAUAUGAAAACAGCUGAUGGACGUACGUUCGAAAAUCAAAAUACAG